AUGGAUCACAAUCUACGAAUUGUAUUUUGGAACGUGCGUGGCCUAAAUGCCCCAGCCAAGCGCACUGCCGUCUGCAGCGUCAUCACCGCUGCUUCCCCAUGUAUCGUUUGUAUCCAAGAAACAAGAAUUUCCCUUUCGUACUCGCUCGUUGCCGAGACGCUCGGCCCGGCCUUUUCCGAGUUCUUCCUUCUCCCGGCUGACGGGACACGCGGAGGCAUCCUGCUUGCGUGGCGUCGGGACUUGAUCGCGCUUUCCGAUCCCUAUCUCGGCGAGCACCAAAUCACCGCCCUGGCCUCCUCCCUCAAUGGUGAGCAUCACUGGUGA
rnacentral:rRNA from 1 species